UCCGUAUCUUCAUGGGAGCAUUUUGCAAACACAAAUUUCAUCAAGAAUUCAAAUAAUUAGAAAUGGGCAAGGUUGUGGGUAACUCUGCCAAGAUGGUUGUUUUGCUUUUUCUUUUUACUCUCAUGCUUUCCAUCAAUGAAAAGGGAGGGGGUGUGGAGGCAAUGUUGUGUAAGGAGCGGAGCAAGACGUGGUCGGGAUAUUGCGCGAUCACGAGCCAUUGCGACAAACAAUGCAAGAAUUGGGAAGGUGCAGAUCAUGGAGCUUGCCACGAUCACGUUCCUGGAAAAGCUUGUUAUUGCUACUACAACUGUUGAAAACCAUGCAAUAAUUCCUCAUGAAUUUUGAUGAUGUUAAUCUCCAUCUCGACAUCAUUCCCCUUUUUUUAAAAAAAUAAAAACUUUGUGUUUUCUUAUGUGUGUGUGAAGGAUCUCUAUAUGAAUUAAUGUUUUUAAGUGUGAGAAGUCUAUGUAGUUAGAAAAAUGUGUAUUGUGGUUUUUGUGAUAAAUAUGCUGUUAUUUAUCUUUUUAGCAGCUUGUUUGUGUGUGUGUCUUCCUCUUCAUAUCAAAAUAAAAUGGCCUUGCCUGUUGUUUCCCACUAAAA